rnacentral:rRNA from 1 species
CCUACGGGGGGCUGCAGUCGAGAAUAUUCCACAAUGGACGAAAGUCUGAUGGAGCGACGCCGCGUGCGGGAUGAAGGCCUUCGGGUUGUAAACCGCUUUUCUACGGGAAGAAUUACGAUGACGGUACCGUAGGAAUAAGAGGUUACUAACUCUGUGCCAGCAGUAGCGGUAAUACAGAGACCUCAAGCGUUAUCCGGAUUUAUUGGGCGUAAAGCGUAAGUAGGCGGUCUCGUUAGUCGGGCGUCAAAGCUCGGGGCUCAACCCCGAAAGGGCGUUCGAAACGGCGAGACUAGAGAGUGUGAGAGAUUGAUGGAAUUCAUGGUGUAGUAGUGAAAUGCGUUGAUAUCAUGAGGAACACCCAAGGCGUAGGCAAUCAAUUGGCACAUUUCUGACGCUCAGUUACGAAAGCGUGGGUAGCGAAUGGGAUUAGAUACCCCUGUAGUC